AUUGAACGCUGGCGGCAUGCCUUACACAUGCAAGUCGAACGGCAGCACGGGAGCAAUCCUGGUGGCGAGUGGCGAACGGGUGAGUAAUAUAUCGGAACGUGCCCAGUCGUGGGGGAUAACGUAGCGAAAGCUACGCUAAUACCGCAUACGAUCUAUGGAUGAAAGCGGGGAUCGCAAGACCUCGCGCGAUUGGAGCGGCCGAUAUCAGAUUAGGUAGUUGGUGAGGUAAAGGCUCACCAAGCCGACGAUCUGUAGCUGGUCUGAGAGGACGACCAGCCACACUGGGACUGAGACACGGCCCAGACUCCUACGGGAGGCAGCAGUGGGAAUUUUGGACAAUGGGCGCAAGCCUGAUCCAGCAAUGCCGCGUGCAGGAUGAAGGCCUUCGGGUUGUAAACUGCUUUGUACGGAACGAAACGGUGAGCUCUAAUACAGUUUGCUAAUGACGGUACCGUAAGAAUAAGCACCGGCUAACUACGUG
rnacentral:rRNA from 1 species